rnacentral:rRNA from 1 species
GAUGAACGCUGGCGGCGUGCCUAAUACAUGCAAGUCGAGCGAACAGAUGAGGAGCUUGCUCCUCUGACGUUAGCGGCGGACGGGUGAGUAACACGUGGAUAACCUACCUAUAAGACUGGGAUAACUUCGGGAAACCGGAGCUAAUACCGGAUAAUAUAUUGAACCGCAUGGUUCAAUAGUGAAAGACGGUUUUGCUGUCACUUAUAGAUGGAUCCGCGCCGCAUUAGCUAGUUGGUAAGGUAACGGCUUACCAAGGCAACGAUGCGUAGCCGACCUGAGAGGGUGAUCGGCCACACUGGAACUGAGACACGGUCCAGACUCCUACGGGAGGCAGCAGUAGGGAAUCUUCCGCAAUGGGCGAAAGCUUGACGGAGCAACGCCGCGUGAGUGAUGAAGGUCUUCGGAUCGUAAAACUCUGUUAUUAGGGAAGAACAAAUGUGUAAGUAACUAUGCACGUCCUGACGGUACCUAAUCAGAAAGCCACGGCUAACUACGUG